ACAUACUCCCUUCGUUCCAUUAUAAGUGCAACUAUAAGUUUCUGUACCCAAAUUUGAUCAUCCGUCUUAUUUGAAAUUUUUUUAUAAUUAGUAUUUUUAUUGUUAUGAGAUGAUAAAACAUGAAUAGUACUUUAUACGUGACUUAUGUUUAUUAUUUUUCUUUUAAAAAAAAUAAAUAAGACGGACGAUCAAAGUUGAACACGAAAAAUCAUGGCUACACUUAAAAUGGUACGGAGGGAGUAGAAAUCAC
rnacentral:pre_miRNA from 1 species